CAGACUUCGUCACUCCUCGCAACACAUGUUUGAUCCCGUUGAAGUUGAACUCCAUUCUCAGAUUCAAGAAAUCCCAGAGAAUCGGUCCAAGAGUUGAAAGCCAUUGAACGCCUAGCACAAGUUCACAACAGUCAAGUGGGAGAGUCCUUAUCUCGGUAGUGAAAGAGUACCCUUGCACUGACCAAGUCAAGUUGCUGCAUUUGUGCGUCGUGAUCAAGUUGUUGCCGUUGG
rnacentral:lncRNA from 1 species